rnacentral:rRNA from 1 species
ACCGGAAGGUUACUAAGACUGGAUAGGAAACAAAAAGGCAUCUUUUUGUUUUUAAAAGACCUUCUUACGAAGGUAUGCUUAAAGAGGGGCUUGCGCCACAUUAGUUAGUUGGUAGAGUAAAAGCCUACCAAGACGAUGAUGUGUAGCUGGACUGAGAGGUUGAACAGCCACAUUGGGACUGAGACACGGCCCAAACUCCUACGGGAGGCAGCAGUAGGGAAUUUUCGGCAAUGGAGGAAACUCUGACCGAGCAACGCCGCGUGAACGAUGAAGUAUUUCGGUAUGUAAAGUUCUUUUAUUGAAAAAGAAAAAGUAGUGGAAAAACUAUAUUGACGUUAUUCAAUGAAUAAGCCCCGGCUAACUAUGUGCCAGCAGCCGCGGUAAGACAUAGGGGGCGAGCGUUAUCCGGAAUUAUUGGGCGUAAAGGGUGCGUAGGCUGUUAGAUAAGUCUAUAAUUUAAUUUCAGUGCUUAACGCUGUCUUGUUAUAGAAACUGUCUUGACUAGAGUGAGAUAGAGGCAAGCGGAAUUCCAUGUGUAGCGGUAAAAUGUGUAAAUAUAUGGAGGAACACCAGAAGCGUAGGCGGCUUGCUGGGUCUUUACUGACGCUGAGGCACGAAAGCGUGGGUAGCAAACAGGAUUAGAUACCCUGGUAGUCCACGCCGUAAACGAUGAGUACUAAGUGUCGGGGUAAAACUCGGUACUGAAGUUAACACAUUAAGUACUCCGCCUGAGUAGUACGUACGCAAGUAUGAAACUUAAAGGAAUUGACGGGACUCCGCACAAGCGGUGGAUCAUGUUGUUUAAUUCGAAGAUACACGAAAAAUCUUACCAGGUCUUGACAUACUCUGCAAAGCUAUAGAAAUAUAGUGGAGGUUAUCAGGGAUACAGGUGGUGCAUGGUUGUCGUCAGUUCGUGUCGUGAGAUGUUAGGUUAAGUCCUAAAACGAACGCAACCCUUGUCGUUAAUUGCCAGCACAUAAUGGUGGGGACUUUAACGAGACUGCCAAUUAAACAUUGGAGGAAGGUGAGGAUUACGUCAAAUCAUCAUGCCCCUUAUGAUCUGGGCUACAAACGUGAUACAAUGGCUGUGACAAAGAGUAGCUGAAACGCGAGUUUUUAGCCAAUCUCAAAAAAGCAGUCUCAGUUCGGAUUGAAGUCUGUAACUCGACUUCAUGAAGUUGGAAUCGCUAGUAAUCGCGAAUCAGCAUGUCGCGGUGAAUACGUUCUCGGGGUUUGUACACACCGCCCGUCAAACCA